GUUAUCGUUUAUUUGAUAGUACCUUACUACUUGGAUAACCGUGGUAAUUCUAGAGCUAAUACAUGCUGAAAACCCCGACUUCGGGAGGGGUGUAUUUAUUAGAUAAAAAACCAAUGCCCUUCGGGGCUCUUUGGUGAUUCAUGAUAAUUUCUCAGAUCGCAUGGCCUUGCGCCGGCGACGGUUCAUUCAAAUUUCUGCCCUAUCAACUUUCGAUGGUAAGGUAUUGGCUUACCAUGGUUUCAACGGGUAACGGGGAAUUAGGGUUCGAUUCCGGAGAGGGAGCCUGAGAAACGGCUACCACAUCCAAGGAAGGCAGCAGGCGCGCAAAUUACCCAAUCCCGACACGGGGAGGUAGUGACAAUAAAUACUGAUACAGGGCUCUUUUGGGUCUUGUAAUUGGAAUGAGUACAAUUUAAACCUCUUAACGAGGAACAAUUGGAGGGCAAGUCUGGUGCCAGCAGCCGCGGUAAUUCCAGCUCCAAUAGCGUAUAUUAAAGUUGUUGCAGUUAAAAAGCUCGUAGUUGAACCUUUGGCCUGGCUGGCAGGUCCGCCUCACCGCGUGCACUUGACCGGCCGGGCCUUUUCUUCUGGAGAACCGCAUGCCCUUCACUGGGUGUGUUGGGGACCAGGACUUUUACUUUGAAAAAAUUAGAGUGUUCAAAGCAGGCCUUUGCUCGAAUACGUUAGCAUGGAAUAAUAGAAUAGGACGUGCGGUCCUAUUUUGUUGGUUUCUAGGACCGUCGUAAUGAUUAAUAGGGACAGUCGGGGGCAUCAGUAUUCAAUUGUCAGAGGUGAAAUUCUUGGAUUUAUUGAAGACUAACUACUGCGAAAGCAUUUGCCAAGGAUGUUUUCAUUAAUCAGUGAACGAAAGUUAGGGGAUCGAAGACGAUCAGAUACCGUCGUAGUCUUAACCAUAAACUAUGCCGACUAGGGAUCGGGCGGUGUUUCUAUUUUGACUCGCUCGGC
rnacentral:rRNA from 1 species